rnacentral:lncRNA from 1 species
CCGCCGUGAUUUUCUCGACUCUAGCUUCUCCGACAUCGGCAAAAUUCUGCACCAACAGCUGCCUAUCACCAAAGGAAGGCUAAGUAUUAUAAUGCCUGAGUCAAGGCCAAAGAAUUUUGAGCUAGCGAUCUGUUGUUGCGACAAACUGAAGUUUCACAGCGUACUGAGUAAGAAAAGCUAUCACCCAACUGAGAAGGUCUCUAUCAGGUGGACAAAGUGGUAUG